AAAACAAAAAAAGUUUUUUUUUUUGUUUUAACAUCUAAUGUUAUGUACUAAUACUAGUUGUGAUACAUUUCUCAAUUCCAACCAUUCCCAACAUUGUUUGAUAUUCUGCGGUGCUUGGGCAAUUGGCUGGUUAACAGCAGCUCUCUCUCUAGCCAAUCAGAUUGAAGCACCGCGGUAGAUUCAGCUAUUAGAAGCACAGCCUUCCGUUCUUCCUACAGAGAGCAGAAAGAAGGCUGAAUGCAGGCGCAGCCAUUUUCUCCUACAUUGGGACUCAAUGGCCAAAAUGGGUUUCCUUUGUUCCUAAAGGGAUCUAAAUCUUGAUUUCAUCAGCCUUUUAUGGACUAUUUAAUACAUACAGUGUUUCUGUUUACAGGAUCUGAGAAGAAGGAAGAUGAAAUGUUGGAUGAUAUCCCUUUGACUUUUUUUUUUACUUUUUUCCUCUUCCUGGAAACCAUCUUUGUCCCAGCAAACUAGGUCAUGGCACACCCAUAUAACAGCAUUUUAUUCUUUAGUAAAAUGCUACUGAAUAAACAUUUUGCAUUUGAUUAUAAUAUUACUACUAACUAGACUGUAAAAAGAGAAAGAGAGAAAAAAACAUGAAAAUUACCAACUGCUUUUAAGCCCCUGUCUUGUUUAGGGCCAAGCAUUAAUCAAUAACAAACAAAGCAGGCCAUAGAGAAAAAGGACGAUUGGCCUUUUACAAAAAUGCUGAAUCACAGGUAUGAUUGAUGGGGUUUGUGGUUGUUUUAAUGCUCAUCCUUGUUGCGCCUCAAAAAAAAAAAAACUACAUUACUAUUAUCAAAAAACAUUUUUAAAAGUAAAAUGAUAUUUAAAGAAAUGUGGAAUUCCCUUUUCUUUCAUGACGUUUCUAUUGGGAAUAAUGUAUUCCUGAUUUUACAAUGGAAUGGAAAUCCCUUAAGUUAAUUAGUAUUUUCAGCAAGUGAACACUCGCUGUAUAUCUGACCUUGCGCCAAGGGCACGCUUUAAUUUCAUAACACUAUUAGUGUCAUAGUGUACAGUUCACGCUAGAGGUAUUGUAUAAAUAUGACUCUAAACAUACAUAAUUAUUAAAACACUAACAGAGAUAUUUACCUUAACAUUUUGUUGAAAUAAUUCUAUCAGGCCUAAACGAUGAAGAAACAGGGACGUUUUCAUUCCCAUCUUCGGAUCCUUUAACACUGGCUUUAAAGAGGGGGUUGGGUUGCAACGCCUAAAAGGAAGAAAA